AGUGAACGCUGGCGGUAGGCCUAACACAUGCAAGUCGAACGGCAGCACAGUAAGAGCUUGCUCUUACGGGUGGCGAGUGGCGGACGGGUGAGGAAUACAUCGGAAUCUACUUUUUCGUGGGGGAUAACGUAGGGAAACUUACGCUAAUACCGCAUACGACCUACGGGUGAAAGCAGGGGAUCUUCGGACCUUGCGCGAUUGAAUGAGCCGAUGUCGGAUUAGCUAGUUGGCGGGGUAAAGGCCCACCAAGGCGACGAUCCGUAGCUGGUCUGAGAGGAUGAUCAGCCACACUGGAACUGAGACACGGUCCAGACUCCUACGGGAGGCAGCGGUGGGGAAUAUUGGACAAUGGGCGCAAGCCUGAUCCAGCCAUACCGCGUGGGUGAAGAAGGCCUUCGGGUGGUAAAGCCCUUUUGUUGGGAAAGAAAAGCAGCAGGUUAAUACCCCGCUGUUCUGACGGUACCCAAAGAAUAAGCACCGGCUAACUUCGU
rnacentral:rRNA from 1 species